CCGAUGGCGACCGGCGCACGGGUGAGUAACACGUAUCCAACCUGCCGAUAACUCGGGGAUAGCCUUUCGAAAAGAAAGAUUAAUAUCCGAUAGGAUAUCAAGGUCGCAUGAUCUUGAUAUUAAAGAAUUUCGGUUAUCGAUGGGGAUGCGUUCCAUUAGUUAGUUGGCGGGGUAACGGCCCACCAAGACGACGAUGGAUAGGGGUUCUGAGAGGAAGGUCCCCCACAUUGGAACUGAGACACGGUCCAAACUCCUACGGAAGGCAGCAG
rnacentral:rRNA from 1 species